rnacentral:rRNA from 1 species
UACAGAGGUCCCAAGCGUUGUUCGGAUUCACUGGGCGUAAAGGGUGCGUAGGUGGUGAGGUAAGUCUGAUGUGAAAUCUCCGAGCUCAACUCGGAAAUGGCAUUGGAAACUACUUGGCUAGAGGAGUGGAGGGGGGACUGGAAUUCUCGGUGUAGCAGUGAAAUGCGUAGAGAUCGAGAGGAACACCAGUGGCGAAGGCGAGUCCCUGGACACUUCCUGACGCUGAGGCACGAAAGCUAGGGGAGCAAACAGG